AGAGUUUGAUCCUGGCUCAGGACGAACGCUGGCGGCGUGCCUAAUACAUGCAAGUCGAACGAACUCUGGUAUUGAUUGGUGCUUGCAUCAUGAUUUACAUUUGAGUGAGUGGCGAACUGGUGAGUAACACGUGGGAAACCUGCCCAGAAGCGGGGGAUAACACCUGGAAACAGAUGCUAAUACCGCAUAACAACUUGGACCGCAUGGUCCGAGUUUGAAAGAUGGCUUCGGCUAUCACUUUUGGAUGGUCCCGCGGCGUAUUAGCUAGAUGGUGGGGUAACGGCUCACCAUGGCAAUGAUACGUAGCCGACCUGAGAGGGUAAUCGGCCACAUUGGGACUGAGACACGGCCCAAACUCCUACGGGAGGCAGCAGUAGGGAAUCUUCCACAAUGGACGAAAGUCUGAUGGAGCAACGCCGCGUGAGUGAAGAAGGGUUUCGGCUCGUAAAACUCUGUUGUUAAAGAAGAACAUAUCUGAGAGUAACUGUUCAGGUAUUGACGGUAUUUAACCAGAAAGCCACGGCUAACUACGUGCCAGCAGCCGCGGUAAUACGUAGGUGGCAAGCGUUGUCCGGAUUUAUUGGGCGUAAAGCGAGCGCAGGCGGUUUUUUAAGUCUGAUGUGAAAGCCUUCGGCUCAACCGAAGAAGUGCAUCGGAAACUGGGAAACUUGAGUGCAGAAGAGGACAGUGGAACUCCAUGUGUAGCGGUGAAAUGCGUAGAUAUAUGGAAGAACACCAGUGGCGAAGGCGGCUGUCUGGUCUGUAACUGACGCUGAGGCUCGAAAGUAUGGGUAGCAAACAGGAUUAGAUACCCUGGUAGUCCAUACCGUAAACGAUGAAUGCUAAGUGUUGGAGGGUUUCCGCCCUUCAGUGCUGCAGCUAACGCAUUAAGCAUUCCGCCUGGGGAGUACGGCCGCAAGGCUGAAACUCAAAGGAAUUGACGGGGGCCCGCACAAGCGGUGGAGCAUGUGGUUUAAUUCGAAGCUACGCGAAGAACCUUACCAGGUCUUGACAUACUAUGCAAAUCUAAGAGAUUAGACGUUCCCUUCGGGGACAUGGAUACAGGUGGUGCAUGGUUGUCGUCAGCUCGUGUCGUGAGAUGUUGGGUUAAGUCCCGCAACGAGCGCAACCCUUAUUAUCAGUUGCCAGCAUUAAGUUGGGCACUCUGGUGAGACUGCCGGUGACAAACCGGAGGAAGGUGGGGAUGACGUCAAAUCAUCAUGCCCCUUAUGACCUGGGCUACACACGUGCUACAAUGGAUGGUACAACGAGUUGCGAACUCGCGAGAGUAAGCUAAUCUCUUAAAGCCAUUCUCAGUUCGGAUUGUAGGCUGCAACUCGCCUACAUGAAGUCGGAAUCGCUAGUAAUCGCGGAUCAGCAUGCCGCGGUGAAUACGUUCCCGGGCCUUGUACACACCGCCCGUCACACCAUGAGAGUUUGUAACACCCAAAGUCGGUGGGGUAACCUUUUAGGAACUAGCCGCCUAAGGUGGGACAGAUGAUUAGGGUGAAGUCGUAACAAGGUAGCCGUAGGAGAACCUGCGGCUGGAUCACCU
rnacentral:rRNA from 1 species